ACAGUUUUCAGCGACGGAUAUCUUGGCUAGCACCUAUGAAGGGCGCAGCGAAGUGCGAUAAUCGUUGUGAAUUGCACACCGUGAACCAAUGGCCUCUUGAACGUGCAUUGCGCUCUUGGGAUGCCUGAGAGCAUGUCUGCUUCAGUG
rnacentral:rRNA from 1 species